CAAGUCGAACGGCAGCGGGGGCUUCGGCCUGCCGGCGAGUGGCGAACGGGUGAGUAAUGCAUCGGAACGUACCCAGUCGUGGGGGAUAACUACGCGAAAGCGUAGCUAAUACCGCAUACGCCCUGAGGGGGAAAGCGGGGGACCUUCGGGCCUCGCGCGAUUGGAGCGGCUGAUGUCGGAUUAGCUAGUUGGUGGGGUAAAGGCCUACCAAGGCGACGAUCCGUAGCUGGUCUGAGAGGAUGAUCAGCCACACUGGGACUGAGACACGGCCCAGACUCCUACGGGAGGCAGCAGUGGGGAAUUUUGGACAAUGGGCGCAAGCCUGAUCCAGCCAUGCCGCGUGAGUGAAGAAGGCCUUCGGGUUGUAAAGCUCUUUCAGACGGAAAGAAAUCGGGCGCGUGAAUAGCGUGCCUGGAUGACGGUACUCUCAGAAGAAGCACCGGCUAACUACGUGCCAGCAGCCGCGG
rnacentral:rRNA from 1 species